GACGAACGCUGGCGGCGUGCUUAACACAUGCAAGUCGAACGGGAAGGUCCUGCUUUUGUGGGGUGCUCGAGUGGCGAACGGGUGAGUAACACGUGAGUAACCUGCCCUUGACUUUGGGAUAACUUCAGGAAACUGGGGCUAAUACCGGAUAGGAGCUCCUGCUGCAUGGUGGGGGUUGGAAAGUUUCGGCGGUUGGGGAUGGACUCGCGGCUUAUCAGCUUGUUGGUGGGGUAGUGGCUUACCAAGGCUUUGACGGGUAGCCGGCCUGAGAGGGUGACCGGGCACAUCGGUACUGAGCUACGGCCCGACUCCCUACGGGAGGCAGCAGUGGGGAAUAUUGCACAAUGGGCGGAAGCCUGAUGCAGCAACGCCGCGUGCGGGAUGACGGCCUUCGGGUUGUAAACCGCUUUCGCCUGUGACGAAGCGUGAGUGACGGUAAUGGGUAAAGAAGCACCGGCUAACUCCGUG
rnacentral:rRNA from 1 species